rnacentral:rRNA from 1 species
UACAGAGGGUGCAAGCGUUGUUCAGAAUUACUGGGCGUAAAGCGCGUGUAGGUGGCGAUGUAAGUCGGGUGUGAAAUCCCUCGGCUCAACCGAGGAAGUGCACUCGAUACUGUGUCGCUUGAGUGUUGGAGGGGAUGGCGGAAUUCCCGGUGUAGAGGUGAAAUUCGUAGAUAUCAGGAGGAACACCGGUGGCGAAGGCGGUUCUCUGGGAAUGUUCUGACGCUGAGGAGCGAAAGUGUGGGGAGCGAACAGG